UACGGGGGGGGCAAGCGUUGUUCGGAAUUACUGGGCGUAAAGCGUGCGCAGGCGGUUUUGUAAGUCUGACGUGAAAUCCCCGGGCUCAACCUGGGAAUUGCGUUGGAGACUGCAAGGCUGGAGUCUGGCAGAGGGGGGUAGAAUUCCUACGUGUGAGCAGUGAAAUGCGUAGAGAUGUGGGAGGAAUACCGAAUGGCGAAGGCAGCCCCCUGG
rnacentral:rRNA from 1 species